rnacentral:rRNA from 1 species
UCAGGCCUAACACAUGCAAGUCGAACGAAGUAGCAAUACUUAGUGGCAGACGGGUGAGUAACAUGUAGGUAUCUUCCCUUUGGCCUGGAAUAACACGAGGAAACUUGUGCUAAUACUGGAUAAGUCUUUACGGAGAAAGCUUUAUGCACCAUUGGAUGAGCCUGCACUUGAUUAGUUUGUUGGUGGGGUAAUGGCCUACCAAGACUUUGAUCAAUAGCUGAUUUGAGAGGAUGAUCAGCCACAUUGGGACUGAGACACGGCCCAAACUCCUACGGGAGGCAGCAGUGGGGAAUCUUGCACAAUGGAGGAAACUCUGAUGCAGCGAUGCCGCGUGAGUGAAGAAGGCCCUUGGGUUGUAAAGCUCUUUCGUCGGGGAAGAAAAUGACUGUACCCGAAUAAGAAGGUCCGGCUAACUUCGUGCCAGCAGCCGCGGUAAUACGAAGGGACCUAGCGUAGUUCGGAAUUACUGGGCUUAAAGAGUUCGUAGGUGGUUGAAAAAGUUGGUGGUGAAAUCCCAGAGCUUAACUCUGGAACUGCCAUCAAAACUUUUCAGCUAGAGUUUGAUAGAGGAAAGCAGAAUUUCUAGUGUAGAGGUGAAAUUCGUAGAUAUUAGAAAGAAUACCAAUUGCGAAGGCAGCUUUCUGGAUCAUUACUGACACUGAGGAACGAAAGCAUGGGUAGCGAAGAGGAUUAGAUACCC